rnacentral:rRNA from 1 species
GGGAAACUUACGCUAAUACCCGCAUGCGCCCGUUCGGGGGAAAGCCGGGGACCUUCGGGCCUGGCGCGAUUGGAUGAGCCCAUGUCGGAUUAGCUAGUUGGCGGGGUAAUGGCCCACCAAGGCGACGAUCCGUAGCUGGUCUGAGAGGAUGAUCAGCCACACUGGAACUGAGACACGGUCCAGACUCCUACGGGAGGCAGCAGUAGGGAAUAUUUGGACAAUGGGCGCAAGCCUGAUCCAGCCAUGCCGCGUGAGUGAAGAAGGCCCUCGGGUUGUAAAGCUCUUUUGUCCGGAAAGAAAAGCGCCGGGUUAAUACCCUGGUGUCCUGACGGUACCGGAAGAAUAAGCACCGGCUAACUUCGUG